rnacentral:tRNA from 2 species
GGACGAUUAGCUCAGCGGUAGAGCACUCGCCUUACAAGCGAGGGGUCACUGGUUCGAACCCAGUAUCGUCCA